rnacentral:lncRNA from 1 species
CGCUUUUUUUUCUCUCUCUCUCUCCGCAUGUGUUGUUUUUAACCGCUGUACGGACAUGUUCUGCGGCUAGUGUCACGCCUGACUUUUUUUUUUUUCUCCGGCUGUGCGCACGUGCGAUAUUCGGACUGUUUAUGCUAUUGGCUGCCGGCUGUGGGGACGCCGCCGCGGUGUCAAGCCUAGCAAAGGGCUCUCAUCACCAGCGCCCUUCGCGUCUCUUGUUGU